UGGGGAAUAUUGCACAAUGGAGGAAACUCUGAUGCAGCCAUGCCGCGUGUGUGAAGAAGGCCCUAGGGUUGUAAAGCACUUUCAAUAGUGAGGAAAAGCUGAUGCUUAAUACGUAUCAGCCGUGACGUUAACUAUAGAAGAAGCACCGGCUAACUCCGUGCCAGCAGCCGCGGUAAUACGGAGGGUGCGAGCGUUAAUCGGAAUUACUGGGCGUAAAGCGCGCGUAGGCGGUUGUUUAAGUCAGCUGUGAAAGCCCCGGGCUUAACCUGGGAAUUGCAGUUGAUACUGGCCAACUAGAGUGCGAGAGAGGGAGGUAGAAUUCCACGUGUAGCGGUGAAAUGCGUAGAUAUGUGGAGGAAUACCAGUGGCGAAGGCGGCCUCCUGGCUCGACACUGACGCUGAGGUGCGAAAGCGUGGGGAGCAAACAGG
rnacentral:rRNA from 1 species